rnacentral:tRNA from 2 species
AUCUCUUGAGUAUGAGAAGUACAUUUGCCUUCCAAGCAAAAAGAUUAGAUUGACCUAAAAGAGAUA